UUUUUUUUUUUUUUGACAGGAUGGGCUGGGGUUGGGGGAGGAGGAAGCAAGAAUCAAGCAGAGAAGGCGAGCUCCUUUCUGUUAAUCUAACUCAAAACCCAAGUGACCACCUGGUAAUUACUUCAACAGCAGAGCGACUCAUACAGCCAGCAGUCCACUUUGUUCUUCUAUAGAUCCUGCCUGUGGUGUUGGAUCUAACAGCUUCUUCCCUGACCCAAGAUUAUGAAGGAUUUCUCCUGUGUUCUCUUCUAAAAAUUUUAUAUUUAGGUCCUGGGCUUUCUCUGCUAGAAGAGGCUGAAUUCCUGGAGUACCUAGAGUAGAGAGCUGGAUAGAAAUCUAGAAGUGGAAUUGCUGAGCUGUAGAGUAUGUGAAUCUCUACAACUUUCAACUUUACCAUGUAUUGUCAAAUUGCUCUCCAAAGUGAUGGUACCAAUUAAUGAUACUACCAAUAAGACCUGCACUAUAAAAAAUGGUAGAGGAAGUUCUUCAGUAUGAAAGUGAAUGAUACCAUAUGGAAACUGAGAUCUACAAAAUGAAACAUCACUGGAAAUAGUAAAUACAUGGAUUUGCUGCCAGUUUUCCAUCCAUCCCCCGGGGCUGAGAUGAGGUGAGAGGCCGCAAAUCCUAUCUAUGAAGGUAGGCACUUCCAUUCAUUCUGAAGUCCUCACAUAGUAGUUAUUCAGUGAAUGUACCCUGGGAUCCACUUUUCACCUUUCCCCUUACCUGCUUUGUGCUUCAAGAAACUGACUUCAACAGACAGCAUCAUCUGGGCUUCUUUACCCUGUAGUGUUCAGCUGAGUUCAGCCAAUGGAAGACACUAGUAGAAGACUGGAAGGAUAGAGGAGAGAAAGAUUGGAAUAUUUAUUCCCAUCUCAUACUACAAUUUUUGUAGUGAUGGUUCUUCCUAUUGGACAGCUUCCACCUAUAACUACAGUUCUCUCCUGGUUCCAGAAACUGCUUUCUCCACUUCUGACCUAGGAGUAGCCACAGCUCCCAGCUGUUGUUAGACCCCAGGUGUAUUUUGUCAUCUCUUGUUACUUCCCUUAACCCUGCCACAGCUCUGAAAAUAGUCCAGUAAUUAAAUACUUUUUGAGCUAUUUCUUUGAGUAUACCACCGGUUUGUUUCGUGCCUGGACCCUGAGUGAUACAGGAUAAUAGAUAAUGUUCAAUACAAUAUACAAUGUAAAAUACAAUAGAUAAUACAAUUCC
rnacentral:lncRNA from 1 species